GGGUAACUAUUAUUUUUCAAUGAUACGGGGAUACGGGGAUACGCAGUCAUUAAAAUGACGUAAUUAUUUGAGUAGUUUAAAAGGAGAAUGGGUAACUUAUUAUUUUUCAGUGAUACGGGGAUACGGGGAUACGGGGAUACGCAGUCAUUAAAAUGACGUAAUUAUUUGAGUAGUUUAAAAGGAGAAUGGGUAACUAUUAUUUUUCAAUGAUACGGGGAUACGGGGAUACGCAGUCAUUAAAAUGACGUAAUAAUUUGAGUAGUUUAAGAGGAAUUUUUCGAGUAGUUUAAGAAGAGAAUGGGUAACUAUUAUUUUUCAAUGAUACGGGGAUACGGGGAUACGCAGUCAUUAAAAUGACGUAAUUAUUCGAGUAGUUUAAGAGGAAUUAUUCGAGUAGUUUAAGAAGAGAAUGGGUAACUAUUAUUUUUCAAUGAUACGGGGAUACGCAGUCAUUAAAAUGACGUAAUUAUUUGAGUAGUUUAAGAGAAAUUAUUCGAGUAGUUUAAGAAGAGAAUGGGUAACUAUUAUUCAAUGAUACGGGGAUACGGGGAUACGCAGUCAUUAAAAUGACGUAAUUAUUCGAGUAGUUUAAGAGGAGAAUGGGUAACUAUUAUUCAAUGAUACGGGGAUACGGGGAUACGCAGUCAUUAAAAUGACGGAAUUAUUCGAGUAGUUUAAGAAGAGAAUGGGUAACUAUUAUUUUUCAAUGAUACGGGGAUACGGGGAUACGCACUCAUUAAAAUGACGUAAUUAUUCGAGUAGUUUAAGAGGAGAAUGGGUAACUAUUAUUUUUCAAUGAUACGGGGAUACGGGGAUACGCAGUCAUUAAAAUGACGUAAUUAUUUGAGUAGUUUAAAAGGAGAAUGGGUAACUAUUAUUUUUCAAUGAUACGGGGAUACGCAGUCA